UGAACUUUUGCAGAAGCGUUUGGCUCCCUUCUAGAGGUGGCUUGUCUCGUGACCUCUGAGCUGUUGGCGACUCUUCUUGGAUGGCUUGGACGAGGAACCCUGCGCUCUCUUUGCUUGCCUGCCACACCCCUGGGCUGGCUUUUCUACCCUUUGGGCCUUUGGGCUUCAGGUUCUCCUGCGAUCUGGUGGCCUUGAGAUCUGUCACACUGCAGUUCCCAUCGUCCCCAGACAGCGUGGCUGAGCAACAGAAUCCUACGUGGGAAAGCAGAAUUUGGGUGGCAUCUUCUUUGCAAGAGAAAGGAGCAUAUGUUUACUUUCUGGUGACCGGAA